rnacentral:rRNA from 1 species
GAUGAACGCUGGCUACAGGCUUAACACAUGCAAGUCGAGGGGAAACGGCAUUGAGUGCUUGCACUGAAUGGACGUCGACCGGCGCACGGGUGAGUAACGCGUAUCCAACCUUCCCGUUACUGCGGGAUAACCUGCCGAAAGGCAGACUAAUACCGCAUGUUCUUCGAUGACGGCAUCAGAUUCGAAGCAAAGACUCGUCGGUAACGGAGGGGGAUGCGUCUGAUUAGCUAGUUGGCGGGGCGACGGCCCACCAAGGCGACGAUCAGUAGGGGUUCUGAGAGGAAGGUCCCCCACAUUGGAACUGAGACACGGUCCAAACUCCUACGGGAGGCAGCAGUGAGGAAUAUUGGUCAAUGGGCGGAAGCCUGAACCAGCCAAGUAGCGUGCAGGACGACGGCCCUACGGGUUGUAAACUGCUUUUAUGCGGGGAUAAAGUGAGGGACGUGUCCCUUUUGCAGGUACCG